UUGCUUUGGCAGCACAUAUAUGAAAACUGGAACAAGUUAGAGAAGAUUAGCACAAGGAUGACAUCACAUUCGAGAAGAGUUCCAUGUUGUU
ensembl:snRNA U6 U6 spliceosomal RNA